UACGAAGGGAGCUAGCGUUGUUCGGAAUCACUGGGCGUAAAGCGCACGUAGGCGGUUGUGUCAGUCAGGGGUGAAAUCCCGGAGCUCAACUUCGGAACUGCCCUUGAUACAGCACGUCUUGAGUCCGGAAGAGGUGGGUGGAAUUCCUAGUGUAGAGGUGAAAUUCGUAGAUAUUAGGAAGAACACCGGUGGCGAAGGCGGCCCACUGGUCCGGUACUGACGCUGAGGUGCGAAAGCGUGGGGAGCAAACAGG
rnacentral:rRNA from 1 species